UCCCUGGUAGCUUAGAUGGUAAAGAAUCUGCCUGUAAUGCAGGAGACCUGGGUUUGAUUCCUGAGUCAGGAA
rnacentral:tRNA from 1 species